GACGAACGCUGGCGGCGUGCUUAACACAUGCAAGUCGAACGGAGUGGCGAACGGGUGAGUAACACGUGGGUGAUCUGCCUUGCACUUCGGGAUAAGCUUGGGAAACUGGGUCUAAUACCGGAUAGUGCAAGAUGAGCUCGCGGCCUACCAGCUUGUUGGUGGGGUAAUGGUCUACCAAGGCGUCGCCGGGUAGCCGGCCUGAGAGGGUGUACGGCCAAAGUGGGACUGGAGUAGGGGCCAGAGGCCUACGGGGGGGAGCAGUGGGGAAUAUUGCAAAAUGGGCGGAAGCCGGAUGCAGCGACGCCGGGUGGGGGAUGAAGGCCUUCGGGUUGUAAACUCCUUUCGACAGGGACGCGGUACCUGUAUAAGAAGCACCGGCUAACUACGUGCCAGCAGCCGCGGUAAUAC
rnacentral:rRNA from 1 species